rnacentral:rRNA from 1 species
CUGGCAGUCAGAGGCGAUGAAGGGCGUACUAAUCUGCGAUAAGCGCCGGUAAGGUGAUAUGAACCGUUAUAACCGGCGAUACCCGAAUGGGGAAACCCAGUGUGAUUCGUCACACUAUCAUUAACUGAAUCCAUAGGUUAAUGAGGCGAACCGGGGGAACUGAAACAUCUAAGUACCCCGAGGAAAAGAAAUCAACCGAGAUUCCCCCAGUAGCGGCGAGCGAACGGGGAGGAGCCCAGAGCCUGAAUCAGCAUGUGUGUUAGUGGAAGCGUCUGGAAAGGCGCGCGAUACAGGGUGACAGCCCCGUACACAAAAGCGCAUGUGCUGUGAGCUCGAUGAGUAGGGCGGGACACGUGGUAUCCUGUCUGAAUAUGGGGGGACCAUCCUCCAAGGCUAAAUACUCCUGACUGACCGAUAGUGAACCAGUACCGUGAGGGAAAGGCGAAAAGAACCCCGGCGAGGGGAGUGAAAAAGAACCUGAAACCGUGUACGUACAAGCAGUGGGAGCACCCUUUGGGUGUGACUGCGUACC